rnacentral:lncRNA from 1 species
UUUUAUGUAUAGUCAAUCUAAUAUGCUUCAUUGUCCAAUAAAUUAUGUGUUUUAUGUUGAACAUAUAUUAUCACAUUUUUCAUUUCAUUUCCGUAUCGUACGAUAUGAUUCACAAUACGAUACGUGAGGAUUUUCGAUACACGAUACGAUUCACAAUUUGACAACUAUGAUAACCAUAAUUACCAUUCCUACGAGGAACAGAUGGACUAGAGAAGAUGCCCUGUGCAAUGGUGAGAUUACAAGCCAAAAAAGAAUCUAGUGUGUGGAUAGUUUGGCUCAUCCAAAGAAUUCAGUAAUUUGUCUAUCCAACCAAAGAUGAUAGGUUUGUGUUAUUGUAACUUCAGUUUCUGUUUAAAGAGUCAUAGAUUUAUCAUGUUAGGACAAUGAUGUAAGAGUUUAAUAACUAAUAAGUGAAUAUUCUUAGAAAAAAAUAAGUGUACUUAACAACAUUAUUGUCAUCCAUUUAAUAAACAGAAAAUAAUACUGUUAUAUAUACACACAUGUAUAUACUUUAAUGAAAACACAAUAUAUAUGUAUAUAUCUUUAGAUAAAGCUUUGUUCACAAAAUAAUUCUCAUAAAAUCAUUAUUUUGCCAGUACCGACUUUAUUAUGCAUAGACAAAUGAGAUAUUUGAUCAAGCAUUCCAAGAGGAGGCCAUUCUUGUGAAGCAUUUAGUUUUUAAUAGAUAGCAUCUUUUAAGAGGGGAUGGAGGAACAAGACCUAGGUUCCUUACUGACAAUAUUCAGCUGACCAAUUCCUAGAAAUGAAUGACAAUCCAAAUCAAGUAUCUUUUUUGGUAAACUACAAAUACAGAACUACUAUAUAAAGAUUCAAUAGAAACACCAUUAUUCAUAUAUUAGCAAAUUAGGACAUGUAGUUGGUGCAUCAACUUAAACCUCAAGCAUGAACAAUUUCAAGCUAAUGAAGACAUACUAUACUAACAAGCAAAAACCGAUAAAAACGUCAACGGGGAAGAUCAUGACAACAUACCAACCCAAACACCAGUCAACCCCUUGUGUCGUGAAGCUUUGAUAGAAAACGUUGAGGAAAGUACACGAAUGAUCACCUCCUCAAGUGCUCUGAGGUACCAAUGAAGAUCCAUAUUGUGAUAGCGAAGAUUUAGAAUAGGGUAUAUAACUAGCUACAAAGAAACAAGUUAAACUCAAAUAUUUGGGAACUAAAUUCAAAAACUGGAGAUAACUCCUUCAAUAAAUUGAUUCAAAGAACUCAACUAAGAAAAAAGGUUAGCAUCAAAUAGUUGGCACUAAAUUCAAAAACUGGAGAUAGGUCCUUCCAUAAAUUGAUUCAAGAACUCAACAAAGAAAACAUCUGAAACUACGUAAUGUAUAGCAAAAUCAUUGAGUUCUUCAAUAGGUUACUAACAAAUGAUUCAGAAUUAUACAAUUAAAUUUGAAAAAGCACAUGAAUUUAACAAAGUAGAGUACAGAAUAUACCUGUCCUGGUCCAUGGUAAGUAACUUCCCCACCGCGUUCUGUUCGAUAAAAGUCUUUAACGUCUUUCAAGUUAUCUUCAGAACUAGCCGUUCCCAAAGUAUAAACAGGGGGGUGCUGAAGGAUAAUUAGAGUAUCAGAAAAAUCUUCAUCUUUAUCACUCAAUAAUUUUCUUUCUUCAACAAUGGAUUUCUGCCAAGACCAUGCCUCAGCAUAUGGAAUUAGCUCAUUGUGCAUAUCAAAUAAAUCGCACCUGUAAGACCAAACAAUCCUCCCAUAACCCAGCUAAGAAACAGUCUUUAUGCAUAUAAAAUAUAAAUCUUUUGUGCAAAAAUGCUUAUUUUACCUUCUUUUUCCAUUAGGGGUUAUCAAAAUGGCCUGCCGAG